AUUAAGGUGGCAGAAUUCGGUCAAUGCAAAAGGUCUAAGCCCUUUAUAUAGAGGUUCAAUUCCUCUUCUUGAUU
rnacentral:tRNA from 1 species